CACGUAGGGCGCAAGCGUUGUCCGGAAUUAUUGGGCGUAAAGAGCUCGUAGGCGGUCUGUUGCGUCUGCUGUGAAAACUCGGGGCUUAACCCCGAGCCUGCAGUGGAUACGGGCAGACUAGAGGUAGGUAGGGGAGAAUGGAAUUCCCGGUGUAGCGGUGAAAUGCGCAGAUAUCAGGAAGAACACCCGUGGCGAAGGCGGUUCUCUGGAACGCAACUGACGCUAAGACGCGAAAGCGUGGGGAGCAAACAGG
rnacentral:rRNA from 1 species